CUUCCCCAGCUAACUUCCCGAAGCAGCACGUAACCGCCAUGGUUAAUUUCAUCUAAACACCUUUUGUACUCGUCUAAGCUUCGGUCGAAUUCAGUUUCACACUGUCACCUGCUUAGCUCCUUCUGAACAAAUCUUAUUGUCCCCCCUGCAAACAAACCCUACCUAGGGUUGCGGCAGAGCACCGUCAUGGCGGUUACUG
rnacentral:lncRNA from 1 species